rnacentral:tRNA from 1 species
CGUAGCUCAGUUGGUUAGAGCACCACCUUGACAUGGUGGGGGUCGUUGGUUCGAGUCCAAU